rnacentral:rRNA from 1 species
ACCUACGGGGGGCAGCAGUGAGGAAUAUUGGUCAAUGGUCGGGAGACUGAACCAGCCAAGCCGCGUGAGGGAUGAAGGUACAGAGUAUCGUAAACCUCUUUUGUCAGGGAACAAAGGCGGGGACGUGUCCCCGGAUGAGUGUACCUGAAGAAAAAGCAUCGGCUAACUCCGUGCCAGCAGCCGCGGUAAUACGGAGGAUGCGAGCGUUAUCCGGAUUUAUUGGGUUUAAAGGGUGCGCAGGCGGUCCGUUAAGUCAGCGGUCAAAGCCCGGGGCUCAACCCCGGCCCGCCGUUGAAACUGGCAGG